AUGCAUGGUACCUCAACAUCAAAGAUCAAUCUUGCAUUGAUGGCCAAGCAUGUAUGUGAAGAAGAGCAAAGUGAAGAAGAAGAAGACGAGGAGGAGGAGGAUGGUGAUGAGAUUGAUUCAGAUGAGAGCCCGUCAUAUGAAGACAUUGCUCUCUUUAUCAAGAAGUUUAGCGCAGGAAAAUUCAAGGGAAGAUUCCAGAAGAAGAAAGUGAGGAAAUGCUACAACUGUGAAGAAACCAACCACUUCUCCAACGAGUGCCCUUAUGAGAAGAGAGAAGAUAAACCAAGGUUUCCCAAGACCUUUCCCAAGAAGAAGUUGCCAAAUCCUUUGAACUCCAAGCUCAAGAACAAAGAUGGGAAAGCAAUGAUUGCUCAUUAA
rnacentral:rRNA from 1 species